AGUAAAGUCAGCUAAAAUAAGCUCUUGGGCCCAUACCCCAAAAACGUUGGUCAACACCAUCCUUUACUA
rnacentral:tRNA from 1 species